rnacentral:lncRNA from 1 species
UGUAGGUUNGUCCGCGGGUACUGGGUUUAAUGGGUUUAACUCAUCCCCUUUCUUAAACGUCAAGUCGGCAUCGCCGAUGUAACGCGGGCACAGAAAUGCUGCAACUGGCCGCAUCAUUCCAUCCCAGCCUUAUUCAACCUCGCCUCUCACCGGAAUUCCAUCGCCGACACUCUCUCCAGCAAACUUCAAACGCAAAAGAAUUAACCCUACUCCACGCUCAACCCAUUUUCACUUCAACAACCCUUUCCAACAACAAUCAGAGCAGUAUCUAUAACAAUGAAAAACUCGUUAAGAAGGCUCUCUUUUCUUACAAUACCAUUAUCAAAUGCUUCCUUCAAAACCGUCGCUCUCAGGAUGCUCUUGUGGUUUUUGUGGAUUUGCUUUGUUGUCCGGGGAUGUUGCCAGACGAGUUCACGUUACCGUGUGUGAUCAAGGCGUGUGCGAAUCUAAGGACUAUUAAGGAAGGGAAAAUGAUUCAUGGGUUGGCGUUGAAACUCGGUUUUGGGUCUGGUUCGGGUGUUCAUGUGGAGAGUAGUUUGGUGAGUUUGUAUUCAAAAUGUGGUGAUAUUGAUUCUGCACGGAAAGUUUUUGAUAAAAUGCUUGUGAAGGAUUUGGUUUCAUGGAAUGUGUUGUUGGAUGGUUACGUAAAGUGUGGUGGGGAGAAUAUUGAGGUUAUUCUGAGACUGUUUGAUGAGAUGCCCGAAAAGGAUGCCUUCUCAUGUACUGUGUUGAUUGAUGGGUUGGCCAAGAGUGGAAGAGUUGACGAAGCAAGAGAGGUGUUUGAUAGUAUGUUGGAUAAGAAUGUGGCUUCAUGGAAUGCAAUGAUUUAUGGGUAUAUGAAGUAUGGAAACUAUAAACUCGCAGGUGAUUUGUUUGAUAGAAUGGACGAGAGAAAUAUAAUCACUUGGAAUUCGAUAAUUUCUGGGUAUGAAUUAAAUGGUAAGUUUCUGGAAGCUCUGCGAAUGUUUCAGGUGAUGUUGGAUAAGGGCCUCAAGGCUAAUGAUGUGACGAUAGUUAGUGUACUUUCUGCAAUUUCGAAGUUGGCUUCGCUUAGUAAAGGUAGGUGGGUGCAUUCGUAUAUGUCAAAAGCUGGGUAUAGAUUAGAUGGUGUACUUGGUAUAUCUUUGAUAGAAAUGUACUCCAAGUGUGGGAGCAUUGAGAGUGCUUUGAUGGUUUUUCGAGGAAUAUCCAAGAAGAAGCUGGGGCAUUGGACAGCCAUUAUUGUAGGAUUGGGGAUGCAUGGUAUGGCUCCUGAUGCAACUGACUUGUUUCUUGAAAUGCAAAGGAAUGGAAUUAAGCCUAAUGCCAUUACAUUUGUUGGAGUCUUGAAUGCUUGUAGUCAUGUGGGAAUGGUGGAUGAUGGUCGGCGUUAUUUUUCUAUGAUGAAAAAUGAGUAUGGAAUAGAACAAACUGUUGAGCACUAUGGUUGCUUGGUGGACAUUCUUUGUCGAGCUGGUCAUCUUGAUGAGGCAAAGAGUACCAUUGAAAAGAUGCCUAUGAAGCCAAGCAAGAUAAUAUGGAUGACUUUACUUAGCAGUGCAAGAAAUUAUAGAAACAUUGAUAUUGGUGAAUAUGCAGCAAAGAACUUGAUCGAGUUAGCUCCUGAAACUGUUCAGUGCUAUGUACUCCUUUCUAAUAUGUAUGCUGUUGCAGGACAGUGGGAAAAAGUUUCGCUGGUUAGAGAAAUGAUGAAGAGGAGAGGGUUUAAGAAAGAACCAGGGUGUAGUUCAAUUGAACACAAGGGUGUGCUUCAUGAAUUCAUGGUAGGAGACAAAUCCCAUCCUCAAUCUGAAUUGAUAUAUUCGAAAUUGAGUGAGAUGAAGAAUAAGUUGAGACUAGCGGGACAUGUUCCUGAUACGACUCAAGUAUUAUUAUUUGUUGAAGGGGAGAAAGAGAAACAAGCUGAACUGGAAAACCAUAGUGAGAGGUUGGCUAUCGCAUUCGGCCUUAUAAACGUUGACCGAAAAAAUCACAUUCGUGUGGUGAAGAACCUUAGAGUUUGUAACGACUGCCAUUCUGUGAUGAAGUUUCUGUCCAAGAUCUAUGAACGUGUAAUUAUUGUGAGAGAUAAUAGCAGGUUCCAUCAUUUCAAAAAUGGGUCAUGUUCAUGCAACGACUAUUGGUGAUUGAGAAUUAUGCUGUCUCACAUUAAGGUCUUGUUUCAGUUUGUUCAACUAAUAACAUGAUGGAGACCCAACCAUCACUCCCAAAAGCACAGGUUUGAGGGUGAUUGAAUCUCACAACUAUUAGGCCCUAACAAUACCCAAUGGCCCCAAAUCUGACGGCCACAGCGGCCCAAUCCAUGACCUUUGCUUUACGUGGCCGGCCAUUAUUUGACUGCCGGUAUUUGGCACUUAGUUUUGGUCGCCCCUUCCGGAAUUCGAACUUGUGGCUUGGGUCUACUCUGAUACCAAUUGAUGGAGACCCAACCAUCUCUCCCAAAAGCCCAGGCUUGAGGGUGAUUGAAUUCCACAACUAUUAGAUCCUAACAUGACAUUAGGAUUGUGUUUUAGCUAUACCCCCAAUUAGGAGAGCUAGUCUUUUGGCUGUACGCAAAAUCUUCACAUGGUGGAUGUAUGUCCUGAGAUACGGUCCAGUACAUUAUGCAAUUUCUCAGACCUUGGAGGAUUCAUGCUUGCGCCUUUUUCGUCCUUACAGCAUAACCAGUGUAAUUUUCUUUUUGUUGCCAUAUGCUUUUUAUUUUUAUAUGUCACCUACACUACAAUUCCUUGUGCUGUCUGCUAGUCAUUUAUUUACUUCACUUUUUCUUUUCUGUGGAUGCAUGCCCUCAUUACUAGAAAUGCGAGGUCUUUUAUUCUGUUUUCAAACAUUAAGAGUCAUAAUCAAUCCUAUUUCAGGCCUCAAUUUUUAUUUGAUAGAAUUAUUAAUCUUAAUGUCAUGGUAAUUGCUUUGUCAAUUAGCAUCUAUAUCUCAUGUGCUUCCUGUACAUGGCAGGCACAUGGUUUCAUGUACUGAUUAUCAUAUAUGGAGAUUGCUUACAGAACUAUAAAUUUGUGUUCCAUACAGUGAAGUUCACUGAAACAUGAUCUUGGAGUGCACAAUCGGUGUCAUUAUUGGAAACCUUGACUGAAAAAUCUUGUCAUCUUAUUAAUAUGGUUAAAACUUAAAUACUUCAUCAAUUGUCAAUUAGUGAAAAUGAACAGUUCAAAAUUUAAAAUAUGAGCUGGUGCAUGGGAAUUAUAGCUUACUAUCAAAGACUUCCACUCCAUUAGACCCAGGAUAUUGAGCCCUGUUUGGGCCCCGUUUUUGGAGAAUGGAUUUUGUAAAAAGUGUUUUUUUUUUUUUUAAAAUGAGUUUGGGUAAAAAUGAGUUUUAAAGAAUGGGGCUCAAAUGGGUGCUGAUAAUUUUUAAUUAAUCAAUUUGCUUUCUUGCCAUCAGAUUGCGCAAGAGAGGCAAAUAUUUCCAAAAAGGGAAAGGACACAUCUAAUUCGUACAUUAGAAGUACUAGACAUGGAUGAUAUACAAUCAUAUUAUAAUGAAACAUAAAGUUUCCGAGCAAUUGCUUCGAAAUAUAAUGAGUUUUGAUGCACAUUGAUGUUUAUUGAACUUGUUAAAUUCAUUCCUUUUGCCAUAUUAUGUCUUGGAAUGAUUGUUAUUUGCUUAUAUUCAUAUUAUUAGGUGAUGAAUUUGGUCAGUAAUUCUCUCUAUUGUGUGCCUUGGCAGUUUUGAAUUCAAUUAUUUCAAGAACUUCCAUGUCAUGUCGCCUGCACCUUUUCCAUUGUAGCAUGUAUUGUUGGAGUGAUUAUCGUUCUUUUUCUUGUUCUGACACUGACCAAGCAGCCUCUAACUUUGUCUCACUUUCACAUGACAAUCUUCUAUGAAAUAAAUGAAUGCAUUUUAUGGAGUCCGUUACUGUUUGCAUGCUGGGGAAAAAAGAAGAUGCAUCCUUAUGGUUAUAGUGCUAUGUUAUCACAUAAUCCAAAAAUGUUGUCAAUCUUCCUUACUGCAAAUUUCACUAAUUGUGAACAAAAAUGCAUGAGUCCAUUGGUCUUCAUUGCAGGUGUCAUUUUACUGAUUUCAGUUGAGACCCAUAUAUUAGGGAGGAUGAGCUUUUUUAGAAUGAGGGAAGGAAAGAUAGAAGCCUAUUAAUACUCCUGAUAAUGACGUUAUUCAAGAUGACUCCUAUGAGGUAAGUGACUUUGUUAACCCCAAUUGUUCCAUAUUUACAUUUAUUGCACUUUGCAAGAGCUAAGUGUUUGGGAAGAUUGCCCAUGAUAAUAAAAAUAUUAAAACUUGGACAAAGUAUUCACUUAAGAAAUAAUGUGGCUCUACUAUAAAAUAACAACAAUGGAUUACAAGAUAAGUUUCAAAUAUGAGUUACAAAGUAUCUCAAACUUUCUAUUUCUCUCAAAAACAAACUUUUAUCUUUCUCAAAUCCUCACUUAGUGCUCAAUUGUUUUUGGCACUCACUUAUUAAACACAUAUAUAGUAUGAACACAUCCUGAGGCCUAUUUAUAGAUUUUUUAAGUUAGUUUGCCACUUGACAAUACAACUUGCAUUUCUCAUUUAGAAGAUUAAAAAUCAAACAUGAAUUUGACCAAUCAAUAAGCAUUUUUCCAUAAACAUCUGCCUAUCAUGUAUAAAAACAUUGUAACACUCUUUAUAGAACUCUGCCUAUCAUAUCCAUCUGCAAUGAGUGCAUAUUUUUCAUUAUUUUACAGAAUUCGUUAUUUAAUCUCUGCAAGAAAACUAAAAAUAGGGUCAACAAAGUUUUGGUCUGAAGCAACACGACACUAAAGAAUUGUCCAGGUUCUUCAAAAAAUUGGAUGACCUGUCUCAAUUAAAGCUCUGUU